AACGUAGGAGGCGAGCGUUAUCCGGAUUUACUGGGCGUAAAGCGCACGCAGGCGGCUUCGUGCGUCGGCUGUGAAAGCUCCCGGCUUAACUGGGAGAGGCCAGUCGAAACGGCGAGGCUUGAGGUUGGGAGAGGGGUGCGGAAUUCCCGGUGUAGUGGUGGAAUGCGUAGAUAUCGGGAGGAACACCAGUGGCGAAGGCGGCACCCUGGCCCACACCUGACGCUGAGGUGCGAAAGCGUGGGGAG
rnacentral:rRNA from 1 species